GUUUAGGUUUCAUAUGUAUUGGAGGUUGACAUGUUUAGAUAUUGUAUCUGGUUAAGUUGGUAUAUGAUACAUGUUAUUACCUUCAUCAAAGUUUGUUGUCAUUCAACCGCCUAUCAAUGGGGCCAACCGAACAACUUUAGUUAGUUACAUUUUGAUUUCCAUUUCAGUAUUGAUGUCUUUUUCUCUUCGGCACUUGGUGGUGGGUUUUUGUGUGACCUUGAUUGAGUUGCAAGUUGCCUCAGUUACUACUAUUCUAAUAUAUGAAUGCCAGUUGUUUAUGAAUGAAU
rnacentral:misc_RNA from 1 species